GGGCGGCCGAGAGUGUUAUGUAAAAAGGACCAAGGAGGAGAUUAUCCUAACGGAGAAGGAGGAGGAAUAGGAGAUAGCUUUAGGGGCGGAAUCGAAGCGAAGAAAUUAGUUCAUGCCACGACGAUCUACAUGGAAGGGAAGUUUUACAAGAUAUGGUACUUUAACUUUAGUCAAAUGCUUUUGGAUGAAAGUUUCUUAUUUACUAUCCCGAGUAGUAAGAUUUUUAAUACAUAUUUCAAUACGGAUGCUCUAUCUGCUACUAAUUUCUUACUUAUUAAGAAAGGGUCAUGGUCAUAUAGACAUUUUGCUCUUUUUUCGCAUUUUUUGACUCCCCUUCCUCAAGUGGAGAAAUAGAUUCGUCCAAUUCUACUACUACUAUAAUUGUAGGACAAUCCCAUAAAAAUUCACUUCCAGUUAGGCAGGAUAAUCUGGUGCCCCCCUUCUCUCCAAUUCUCAUUUUCUUUGGGGUCGUCAGUUCCCAGAGCUUGAGGAUCUGGAGAUAGACAUCAAUGCAUGAAUCCAUCUCACCCCUUCUCUCCAAUUCUCAUUUUCCUUGGGGUCGUCAGGUCCCAGAGCAUGAGGAUCUGGAGAUAGACCUCUAUGCACGAAUCCGUCUCUUAGAAGCACGCUAAUCGACCAAUUACCUCCUCAACUUAACGCUGGGGGAUACGAAGCCUUGGUGAGAAGCUUUUUGAAUGAAACGCGGACUCCGAUUGAAUUUCUAUCCGCGGUAAAUAAUGAGCUGUUCGAUAUCAAAGUUUUAGAGUUAAAAGCGAAUCUUCAGGAUCAACUUUUUAAUCUCUUUCUCAAUGAACCGGACAGCGAAUUUCUUGCAAUUUUACGCGAAUCCCCUUUUAGGGAACAAGGCUUAAGGCCAGAAAUACUAGAGUAUAUAAUUCUGCAGUUAGACAGAGCCGGUCUAAGC
rnacentral:lncRNA from 1 species